rnacentral:rRNA from 1 species
GACGACGCUGGCGGCGUGGAUUAGGCAUGCAAGUCGAACGGUAUCAUCCUUUCGGGGGUGAGAGAGUGGCGAACUGGUGAGUAACACGUAGGUUAUCUACCCUCAAGACGGGGACAACCCAGGGAAACUUGGGCUAAUACCGGAUGUGAGCAACUUUUAGUUGUUUGAAAGGUGGCGUAAGCUGUCGCUUGGGGAUGAGCCUGCGUCCUAUUAGUUAGUUGGUGAGGUAACGGCUCACCUAGGCAAUGAUAGGUAGGCGGCCUUAACGGGUGGUCGCCCACACUGGGAUUGAGAUACGGCCCAGACUCCUACGGGAGGCAGCAGUCGAGAAUAGUCUACAAUGGUCGGAAGACUGAUAGUGCGACGCCGCGUGAACGAUGAAUCCCUUCGGGGUGUAAAGUUCUUUUAUAUGUGAGCAGUGCUUCUUAUAUUAACAGUAUGGGGAGAGCGAUAUUAGCAUAUGAAUAAGCAACGGCUAACUCCGUG